CCUACGGGUGGCAGCAGUGAGGAAUAUUGGUCAAUGGACGAGAGUCUGAACCAGCCAAGUAGCGUGAAGGAUGACUGCCCUAUGGGUUGUAAACUUCUUUUAUAAAGGAAUAAAACGAGGCACGUGUGCCUUUUUGCAUGUACUUUAUGAAUAAGGAUCGGCUAACUCCGUGCCAGCAGCCGCGGUAAUACGGAGGAUGCGAGCGUUAUCCGGAUUUAUUGGGUUUAAAGGGUGCGUAGGCGGAUCGUUAAGUCAGUGGUAAAAUUGAGGGGCUCAACCCCUUCCCGCCAUUGAAACUGGCGCUCUUGAGUGGAAGAGAAGUAUGCGGAAUGCGUGGUGUAGCGGUGAAAUGCAUAGAUAUCACGCAGAACCCCGAUUGCGAAGGCAGCAUGCCGGCUUCCGACUGACGCUGAAGCACGAAAGCGUGGGGAUCGAACAGGAUUAGAUACCCUUGUAGUC
rnacentral:rRNA from 1 species